rnacentral:rRNA from 1 species
GAUGAACGCUGGCGGCGUGCCUAAUACAUGCAAGUCGAGCGAACAGAUAAGGAGCUCGCUCCUUUGAAGUUAGCGGCGGACGGGUGAGUAACACGUGGGUAACCUACCUAUAAGACUGGGAUAACUUCGGGAAACCGGAGCUAAUACCGGAUAACAUUUAGAACCGCAUGGCUCUAAAGUGAAAGAUGGUUUUGCUAUCACUUAUAGAUGGACCCGCGCCGUAUUAGCUAGUUGGUAAGGUAACGGCUUACCAAGGCGACGAUACGUAGCCGACCUGAGAGGGUGAUCGGCCACACUGGAACUGAGACACGGUCCAGACUCCUACGGGAGGCAGCAGUAGGGAAUCUUCCGCAAUGGGCGAAAGCCUGACGGAGCAACGCCGCGUGAGUGAUGAAGGGUUUCGGCUCGUAAAACUCUGUUAUUAGGGAAGAACAAAUGUGUAAGUAACUGUGCACAUCUUGACGGUACCUAAUCAGAAAGCCACGGCUAACUACGUGCCAGCAGCCGCGGUAAUACGUAGGUGGCAAGCGUUAUCCGGAAUUAUUGGGCGUAAAGCGCGCGUAGGCGGUUUCUUAAGUCUGAUGUGAAAGCCCACGGCUCAACCGUGGAGGGUCAUUGGAAACUGGGAAACUUGAGUGCAGAAGAGGAAAGUGGAAUUCCAUGUGUAGCGGUGAAAUGCGCAGAGAUAUGGAGGAACACCAGUGGCGAAGGCGACUUUCUGGUCUGUAACUGACGCUGAUGUGCGAAAGCGUGGGGAUCAAACAGGAUUAGAUACCCUGGUAGUCCACGCCGUAAACGAUGAGUGCUAAGUGUUAGGGGGUUUCCGCCCCUUAGUGCUGCAGCUAACGCAUUAAGCACUCCGCCUGGGGAGUACGACCGCGAGGUUGAAACUCAAAGGAAUUGACGGGGACCCGCACAAGCGGUGGAGCAUGUGGUUUAAUUCGAAGCAACGCGAAGAACCUUACCAAAUCUUGACAUCCUUUGAAAACUCUAGAGAUAGAGCCUUCCCCUUCGGGGGACAAAGUGACAGGUGGUGCAUGGUUGUCGUCAGCUCGUGUCGUGAGAUGUUGGGUUAAGUCCCGCAACGAGCGCAACCCUUAAGCUUAGUUGCCAUCAUUAAGUUGGGCACUCUAGGUUGACUGCCGGUGACAAACCGGAGGAAGGUGGGGAUGACGUCAAAUCAUCAUGCCCCUUAUGAUUUGGGCUACACACGUGCUACAAUGGACAAUACAAAGGGCAGCUAAACCGCGAGGUCAUGCAAAUCCCAUAAAGUUGUUCUCAGUUCGGAUUGUAGUCUGCAACUCGACUACAUGAAGCUGGAAUCGCUAGUAAUCGUAGAUCAGCAUGCUACGGUGAAUACGUUCCCGGGUCU